UGAUAAGGCAGGUGGAGGAACAGGAUCAUGUGGAACCUCUUGUUCUUGGGCAGGUGGUUGAGACAAUGGGCGUAGAUGGAUUCUGUUGUGUCUAAGCAGCACCCUGUCCGUAUUGAUGAGUUGUACGUAACUGUCUUCCCAUGAGCAACUGAGAAGGCAUCGCAGUGUGGAGCGCAGCGCCUGCACAUUCCGUCUGCGGCGGCGUAGCUCCUGUCCAGGGAGCAGUUGACCCGGCACUGGCCGC